rnacentral:rRNA from 1 species
AUUGAACGCUGGCGGCAUGCCUUACACAUGCAAGUCGAACGGUAACGCGGGGCAACCUGGCGACGAGUGGCGAACGGGUGAGUAAUGUAUCGGAACGUGCCCAGUUGUGGGGGACAACUGCUCGAAAGAGCAGCUAAUACCGCAUACGACCUGAGGGUGACAGCGGGGGAUCGCAAGACCGCGCGCACUCGGAACGACCGAUAUCAGAUUAGGUAGUUGGUGGGGUAAAGGCCCACCAAGCCAACGAUCUGUAGCUGGUCUGAGAGGGCGACCAGCCACACUGGGACUGAGACACGGCCCAGACUCCUACGGGAGGCAGCAGUGGGGAAUUUUGGACCAUGGACGCAAGUCUGAUCCAGCCAUGCCGCGUGCGGGAAGAAGGCCUUCGGGUUGUAAACCGCUUUUGUCAGGGAAGAAACGCUCUGGGUUAAUACCUCGAGGUGAUGACGGUACCUGAAGAAUAAGCACCGGCUAACUACGUGCCAGCCGCCGCAGUAAAAC